rnacentral:rRNA from 1 species
GGCUUUGAAGUGUGGACGCCAGUCUGCAUGGAGCCGACCUUGAAAUACCACCCUUUAAUGUUUGAUGUUCUAACGUUGACCCGUAAUCCGGGUUGCGGACAGUGUCUGGUGGGUAGUUUGACUGGGGCGGUCUCCUCCUAAAGAGUAACGGAGGAGCACGAAGGUUGGCUAAUCCUGGUCGGACAUCAGGAGGUUAGUGCAAUGGCAUAAGCCAGCUUGACUGCGAGCGUGACGGCGCGAGCAGGUGCGAAAGCAGGUCAUAGUGAUCCGGUGGUUCUGAAUGGAAGGGCCAUCGCUCAACGGAUAAAAGGUACUCCGGGGAUAACAGGCUGAUACCGCCCAAGAGUUCAUAUCGACGGCGGUGUUUGGCACCUCGAUGUCGGCUCAUCACAUCCUGGGGCUGAAGUAGGUCCCAAGGGUAUGGCUGUUCGCCAUUUAAAGUGGUACGCGAGCUGGGUUUAGAACGUCGUGAGACAGUUCGGUCCCUA